UACGUAGGGUGCAAGCGUUGUCCGGAAUUAUUGGGCGUAAAGAGCUCGUAGGCGGUCUGUUGCGUCGGCUGUGAAAACCCGGGGCUCAACCCCGGGCCUGCAGCCGAUACGGGCAGACUAGAGUGCGGUAGGGGAGCGGGGAAUUCCUGGUGUAGCGGUGAAAUGCGCGGAUAUCAGGAGGAACACCAGUGGCGAAGGCGCCGCUCUGGGCCGUGACUGACGCUGAGGAGCGAAAGCGUGGGUAGCAAACAGG
rnacentral:rRNA from 1 species